GGUAAUUAUUAACAGCAAUAAUCCCCAUAUGACAACAGUUUCAGUCCCCCACAGGAAGGUAUUUCAUUCUCUUCCUCCCCAUGUCCAUUCAGUCGCUGCAAGAGUGAGGUAGCUAUAUCAACAUCAUGGAGAAAGAGCAUAUUUUGUAGUAUGAGCCAUAUGAAUUGACCUGUAGAUGUCACAUUGUCCUCUCACUCAGUCGGGCGACAGAGAGGGGAUGUAAGCUACAGUUUAAUAGAGCGGUCGGAGAGAUUAGUUCAAGGGACAUGUGGGUCAUUGAGAACGGGCGAGGGCCAGAGCCUUGCUGGGGGAACAGACUGGACAGAGAACAGCAGCACCAGAAUAACCAUCCUACCAGGCUCCUGGCCCGGCCCAGACAUCCAGUCAACACCAUCACCUGGCAACAUGGCUCCUGCUCAGCACUCCACCAGGACAGGGACCACACUGUCCGUGAUGGACGUCCUUCUCUGUGUCCUCGUUUCCUGGUUCACAUGAAGGCCUGUCCUGCAGACCUCAGAACCCCACAUCUCCUAUCCAAUAACCCCAGGCCACGUCCUCCUCGCCAGGAAUUGACACAACAAAGACACGCCCUUGGCGGCCUGAAGACGCAUUCAUGUGCAGACUCCAGGAGCCUGCAGCACUGCAGCACCACCAGAGGGAGGCGCUUAGCUGUUGUUGUUCCCUGUGUACCAGUGCCAGUCUCCCCCUCUCCCAGCAGAGCCUCCCCUGAGCUCUCAGUCUGUCCAAGUCCAACAUCCUCUACUGUCACUGACUCUGGGCAGCAGGGGACUGGAUACAACCCUGCUCCAUCAUCAGCCCUACCUCAUGGCCAUACUCAGAAAGGAGAGAAGGAAACAGAGGAUGGUGUUAAAGAGAUGGAUGAAGGCACUUCGGCUUCCUCAGGGGCCUUCCGCCCUCCAAGGCCAGACCAGGAGCCCAAUUCUGGUCCUGAGGACAUAGACCCCUCAGUUUCUCCAAUCCCUAGUGUCUGUGAGGGUUCUCUCUCAGACUUUAGCCGCCCACCAUCCAGCCAGUUCAGCCGAAGCACAGACCUGGGUAGUGGCCGGAGCAGUCCUCUAUGUGCGAAUCUGAGUGACCUGGACUCAGAGGGUGGCUCUCCUCUCUCCCAGCAUGGCUCCUCUUCCAUGUCCCUGUCUGCUCUGGCCUCCUGCACCCCACAGGACCCCCCAGCACACCAGCCCCCAAACCCAGCCCCUCACCACCCUCAAUACCAUCCCCUCCCUCACCAGGCCCAACACUGCCCACCUGACUGGACCACCACGGAGCCCCAGCCAGGCCAUGUCCUCCCACCCUACCCAGACCCAUCCCUGGACCCCAACCUAGACCCUACAACCCUAGCUUUCCCCUCAGACACCUGGCAGUCCUGCCCCAGCCCACAGUGCAAGAUAACUACCCGACCAGGGUCAGGGUUAGGGUCAGGUUUGACCUCAUCCCCUGUGGUGGUGGAGAGGCAGGACUGGACAUCACACCGCUGGUCCGUCCUUCCCCCCAUCUCUCCAGUCAGAGGUGGCAGUGACACAGUGUCCUCCUGGUCCCGCUGUUCUCAGGUCAGCUCUAGCCAGUCCCAUGUGUUUGAUGAACUGGAGGCCAUCGCCCCGCGGACCGGCUCCUGUCUGUCCCUAGACCAGCCACUCAGCCCAGCAGACUGCAGCCCACCUGGUACAGGUCCUGUACACCCACAUUAUGUCACACCUGUCAAGGGUCUACAAAAUGAUUACAUCAGAAACGUGCUCUAUAUUUAUGUCAAACAUGUGCUCCUCUAA
rnacentral:lncRNA from 1 species